rnacentral:rRNA from 2 species
GUGAACCUUUACUAUAGCUUGACACUGAACAUUGAGCCUUGAUGUGUAGGAUAGGUGGGAGGCUUUGAAGUGUGGACGCCAGUCUGCAUGGAGCCGGCCUUGAAAUACCACCCUUUAAUGUUUGAUGUUCUAACGUGGACCCGUGAUCCGGGUUGCGGACAGUGUCUGGUGGGUAGUUUGACUGGGGCGGUCUCCUCCUAAAGAGUAACGGAGGAGCACGAAGGUUGGCUAAUCCUGGUCGGACAUCAGGAGGUUAGUGCAAUGGCAUAAGCCAGCUUGACUGCGAGCGUGACGGCGCGAGCAGGUGCGAAAGCAGGUCAUAGUGAUCCGGUGGUUCUGAAUGGAAGGGCCAUCGCUCAACGGAUAAAAGGUACUCCGGGGAUAACAGGCUGAUACCGCCCAAGAGUUCAUAUCGACGGCGGUGUUUGGCACCUCGAUGUCGGCUCAUCACAUCCUGGGGCUGAAGUAGGUCCCAAGGGUAUGGCUGUUCGCCAUUUAAAGUGGUACGCGAGCUGGGUUUAGAACGUCGUGAGACAGUUCGGUCCCUAUCUGCCGUGGGCGCUGGAGAACUGAGGGGGGCUGCUCCUAGUACGAGAGGACCGGAGUGGACGCAUCACUGGUGUUCGGGUUGUCAUGCCAAUGGCACUGCCCGGUAGCUAAAUGCGGAAGAGAUAAGUGCUGAAAGCAUCUAAGCACGAAACUUGCCCCGA